GUAUGAAAUGAUGGUAUACCAUCUUUCGGGACUGACGUGUCAUGGAGAUGCUUUUGAACUUCACUGAUCAUAU